AGAGUUUGAUCAUGGCUCAGAAUCAACGCUGGCGGCGUGCCUAACACAUGCAAGUCGAACGCGAAAGCCCCGAAAGGGGCAAGUAGAGUGGCAAACGGGUGAGUAACACGUGGGUGACCUGCCUUCGAGUGGGGGAUAACGCUCCGAAAGGGACGCUAAUACCGCAUGACAUCCUUUCUUUGAAGAGAGGGAGAUCAAAGCCGGGGAUCGCAAGACCUGGCGCUUGAAGAGGGGCCCGCGCCUGAUUAGCUAGUUGGUGGGGUAACGGCUCACCAAGGCAACGAUCAGUAUCCGGCCUGAGAGGGCGGACGGACACACUGGGACUGAGACACGGCCCAGACUCCUACGGGAGGCAGCAGUGGGGAAUUGUUCGCAAUGGGCGCAAGCCUGACGACGCAACGCCGCGUGGAGGAUGAAGACCUUCGGGUCGUAAACUCCUUUCGAUCGAGACGAAUGGCCCCGGGGCGAAUAUCCCCGGGGAAUGACGGUACCGAGAGAAGAAGCCCCGGCUAACUCCGUGCCAGCAGCGGCGGUAAUAC
rnacentral:rRNA from 1 species